GACGUAGGAUCCGAGCGUUGUCCGGAGUUACUGGGCGUAAAGCGCGCGCAGGCGGACACGCGCAUCGGCGGUGAAAGCCCCCCGCUCAACGGGGGAGGGUCCGUCGAGAUGGCGUGUCUGGAGGCAGGGAGAGGCCAGUGGAAUUCCGGGUGUAGUGGUGAAAUGCGUAGAGAUCCGGAGGAACACCGAUGGCGAAGGCGACACGCUGGGCCGUACCUGACGCUAAAGCGCGACAGCAUGGGGAGCAAACGGG
rnacentral:rRNA from 1 species